CAGACAACUAGGAGGUUGGCUCAGAAGCAGCCAUCCUUUAAAGAGUGCGUAACAGCUCACUAGUCGAAUGACUCUGCGCCGAUAAUUUACCGGGGCUAAGCAUACUACCGAAGCUAUGGAUCCCAAGGGAUGGUAGGGGAGCGUUCCAUGAACGGAGAAGUACGACCGAAAGGACGUGUGGAGAUCAUGGAAGAGAGAAUGCCGGUGUGAGUAGCGGAACGUGGGUGAGAAUCCCACGCACCGAAAACCCAAGGUUUCCAGAGGAAGGUUCGUCCGCUCUGGGUAAGUCGGGACCUAAGGCGAGGCCGAAAGGCGUAGUCGAUGGACAACAGGUAGAGAUUCCUGUACCCGUAUAUAUGUGAAGGAAUGACGGAGAGAGGAAGCUGCAGCCAGCGGCUGGAAGAGCUGGUGCAAGCGAGAUAUCGGGAUGGCAGGCAAAUCCACCAUCCGAAACGAGAAGGCGUGAAGCGUACGGAAAGCUACGGCGAGUACGGAAGGCAGUGGAGGAACUUCCAAGAAAAGUUUCUAACGUUAAGUAUAUAUGGCCCGUACCGAAAAUGGACACACAUGGGUGAGGAGAGAAUCCUAAGGUGAGCGAGAGAACUAUAGCUAAGGAACUCUGCAAAAUGACUCCGUAACUUAGGGAGAAGGAGUGCUCAUAGAGAUAUGAGCCGCAGUGAAACGGCCCAAGCGACUGUUUACCAAAAACACAGCUCUAUGCUAAGUCGAAAGACGACGUAUAUGGGGUGACGCCUGCCCGGUGCUGGAAGGUUAAGAGGAUGUGUCAGCGCAAGCGAAGCACUGAAUUGAAGCCCCAGUAAACGGCGGCCGUAACUAUAACGGUCCUAAGGUAGCGAAAUUCCUUGUCAGGUAAGUUCUGACCCGCACGAAAGGCGUAAUGAUUUGGGCACUGUCUCAACAGCCCGCCCGGCGAAAUUGUAGUACCGGUGAAGAUGCCGGUUACCCGCGACAAGACGGAAAGACCCCAUGGAGCUUUACUGUAGCCUAAUAUUGGGUUUCGAUGUUGCAUGCACAGGAUAGAUGGGACUCUGGGAAGCCAAGGCUUUGGCUUUGGCGGAGAGGCCGUUGGGAUACCAUCCUUGCGAUAUUGGAAUUCUAACCUGCGGCUCUGAAUCGAGUCGGGGGACAUUGUUAGGUGGGCAGUUUGACUGGGGCGGUCGCCUCCUAAA
rnacentral:rRNA from 1 species